rfam:Populus trichocarpa scaffold_71_contig_2, whole genome shotgun sequence.
AUUUUUUGGGUUAAAAAUCAACACUUUAGACAAGUAUCUUAUUUUUAGGAGCCGAUGUCAUUUUUUUGACAUGUCUUCUAUUUUUAGGGACC